GUAGUCGUACUUAAAAACACACAGCUUCUUUACCGGAUAUCACCAUGGGCAAAGUAUGUAGUUCAAGAAGAAAAGAAAAUAACUUUUGACUGGGUGCACUGGGACCCACCUCACCCUUACAUUCACAAGCAUCCUUCUCCCAAAAGACCCAGAAGUCUAAGAAUUUAUGAAUCUCAUGUUGGAAUUGCUUCUCCUGAAGGAAAAAUAGCUUCCUAUAAAAAUUUUACAGACCAUGUACUUCCUAGAAUAAAGGAUCUUGG